GAUUCGGACAAGCAGAUGGAGCAAAAGGCUCCGCCGACGCAGUUAGUCGCGUGACAGGCGGAGGCUGGCUCCACUCGGCUAUCCCAAAGUGACUACAAUCUCAGCUGAGU
rnacentral:snoRNA from 1 species